rnacentral:lncRNA from 1 species
AUGGCUCAAGUGGGCUGGAGUUGGGUAUUUCCCUUCCCAAGGUCAGUUAGGCUGUGAUAAUACCCCAGCAGGUUAGGCUCUGAUUAACUAGUUUCACUUGAGGGCAGGCCUUAUUAAGAAGAACAGAGCACUCUGACCUAUUUCAAAAUGGUUCCUUUUCCCUUCUCCUUGCAGGAAGCAGGAAGGGAUUUUUUUCUCACAUAUUUACUGUGCGAACCUGGCCGAGCUCCUGGAGAUAUAUCUCACAGUAUUGUGGGGAGCCCUCUUAUGACUGCCUCUUCCUGGAGUUUUUAAUUCUCAGAGUUGUAUACCCUGAGCCUUCAGCAACUUGUCGAUUAUAGCUCCAGUUUUUCUAUUCUGUACUUGUUCCAAUGGGAGUUUCUGCUGUUGAGUCUCUGCUUUGGUGUGGCCGUCCUGGUAGGCAUUGUGCUUCCUUCCAAAGGAUAGUGCUUUUCUGAGGGGCACAAUCAUCUUCCAUUUCAACUGCUGAGUGCAAGCCUCUGUGAUAGUCAUGAAGUGUAAUCCUCUAUUGCAAAGGGAAGGAAUGACACUUUCUCCUGUGUAUGUGUGUAUGAAAAUUUUGAAAUAAUUUCAAGCCUACAAAUAGUCCUGAGAAUUAUCAAAGAAAUACAAACCAGCCUUUCAGAAUCUGGAUAAACUAUGAAAUCCUGCAUUAUACAGAAUGUCAAACAGACAUAAAAGCCAGCAGAGCAUCAACUGUGGAGCUUAGGAAUCAUCUCAGAAAGAAGUUUACAAUGAAAAUCUUGCUGAGUCCAGAGUCUGAAAGAACUGAAGACUACGGUCGUUUUGACCACAGGAGGAGUCAUUGUCUGAGCCAAAGGACCAUGGGGGCAACUUUGAACCAGGAUAAGUACGAAAGUUGACUAAUACUCAAACUGAUGAGGGUCCACACAUGGAGAAGAUUUUGCCCCAGGAUGGAUCAUACCCAAAGUCUCACCCAUACGUGAUUUUGACAAUAUAGACAAUGAGACUUGGGUGUUUUGAAUGGAUGCUACAAGGGAUUGAGGCUUUAGGGAUGUUAAGAUUGGGUAAAGGCUUUUUGCAUGUGGGAUGGAGAUGAAUCUUGGGAGACCAGAGGAUGGACUGUGGUAGGCAGAAAAAUUAUCUCCCCCAGCCUCCUAACAUGUUCGUCUUCUAAUACCUGGAACCUAUGAAUAUAACUUACAUGAUGAAAGAGACUUUGUAGAUCUUUAAUUAAAGAUCUUGAGAUGGAUAAAUUAUCUUGGAUUAUCUGAGUAGGCCCAAUAUAAUGGCAAGAGUCCUAAUAAAUGAAAGAAGAAGGCAGGAGAGCGAACAGGCAAUGUGAUUACGGAAGCACCCAUCAGGGUGAUUUGAUUGUGGAAAGGAGACUAAGCCAAGAAAAGAGGGUAAUCUCUAGACACUGGAAAAGGCAAAUAAAUUUAGUCUCUCCUUGAGUCUCCCGAAGGAAUGCAGUUCUGCCAACAUCUUGAUUUUAGCCUAAGGAGAUGAAUUUUGGACUUCUGACUCUCAGAACUGUAAAGUAAUAAAUUUAUGUUGUUUUGAGCCACUAAAUUGGUGGUAAUUUGAUAUCGCGUCAAUAAGAAACUAAGACAAUAGUCAGACCUCUCACCCUUUCAUCAAAAGGACUCGUUAAACCAUCUCCCUUUUCCUCAAACAUCUCACCUUGUCACCUUCUUUCUCACCCUCAGCACAAAUCUUUACUUCCUAAGUUAUAAACACGAUAAUUAUCCAGAAAAUUCUUCACUAUGCUUCAAGUAACCCUGUCUUCAUAUGUAAUUUUAAUAUAGAAAUGAUAUACAAGUUUUAUAUACAUUUUAUUAAUGAAAAUGAAGGAAAGUGUCCUCUUUAAAGAGUUAAUAUAGAUAUAGAAUUAAUACAAG